AGAGUUUGAUCCUGGCUCAGAUUGAACGCUGGCGGCAUGCCUUACACAUGCAAGUCGAACGGCAGCACGGGGGCAACCCUGGUGGCGAGUGGCGAACGGGUGAGUAAUAUAUCGGAACGUACCCUAGAGUGGGGGAUAACGUAGCGAAAGUUACGCUAAUACCGCAUACGAUCUACGGAUGAAAGUGGGGGCUCGCAAGACCUCAUGCUCAUGGAGCGGCCGAUAUCUGAUUAGCUAGUUGGUGAGGUAAAGGCUCACCAAGGCGACGAUCAGUAGCUGGUCUGAGAGGACGACCAGCCACACUGGGACUGAGACACGGCCCAGACUCCUACGGGAGGCAGCAGUGGGGAAUUUUGGACAAUGGGGGCAACCCUGAUCCAGCAAUGCCGCGUGAGUGAAGAAGGCCUUC
rnacentral:rRNA from 1 species